GAACCAGAUAUUAUUCGGUCUUCACAUAAAAAGAGGGGGGAGAGAGAGAGAGAGGAAGUCACCCCAGGUUCCCUCUGUUCUCCUUGCCUCGACCGAUCUCUUGGGCUUCCCCGCUUCCGAUCUCGUCCAUCAUGUCCUCGGAGACAGCUCAACCACUGCCCAAGUUUGGAGAGUGGGAUGUCAAUAAUCCUGCCUCAGCUGAAGGGUACACUGUUAUAUUCAACAAGGCCCGAGAUGAAAAAAAGACGGGUGGUAACUCAGGCACACCCACAGCAACACCGAAAAGAGAUGUAGGAGGUCUACAAGCAGAUGACACCUACCAGUAUCCAAGAAAAAGUCGGAAGUGGCUUUGCUGUGGUUGAAUGCUGCUGCUGGAGCAACGACCACCCGGUGAUCUCAGUUGGGGCUGUGAGGAAAAAAGUUUGUUUUAAUGAACAGAUACUAUCGUUGGAUCAUUAUUGUGUGUAUCAAUAUUAUGUAGGCAAAAAACAGGAAACAUGGAUGGAGGACUCUUAUUUCAAUUUUGCUAAAUUGCUGGAAAUAGCAGUGUGUUACAAUUUGUGCA